UACGUAGGGUGCGAGCGUUAAUCGGAAUUACUGGGCGUAAAGCGUGCGCAGGCGGUUCGUUGUGUCGGCGGUGAAAGCCCCGGGCUUAACCUGGGAAUGGCCGUUGAAACUGGCGAACUGGAGUGUGGCAGAGGGGGUGGAAUUCCGGCGUGUAGCAGUGAAAUGCGUAGAGAUGCGGAGGAACACCGAUGGCGAAGGCAGCCCCCUGGCUGACACUGAC
rnacentral:rRNA from 1 species